AGGAGAGAGAAGAGGCUGAAUACGAUAGACUACCGAAGUGAGCACGAUAGCUGUCUGAACUGUUCCUAGGGAUGGAACCUAGUGUCUCACACCUGCUAGGCAUGCAGUCAACUGCUGACCUCAGCCCCCAGCCCUGGUGCAGAAUCUGAUUAGAAACCUUGGGAAGUCAGGCACCGUGGAACACGUCUGUAACCCCAGCACCUUGGAGGUAAAAGCGAGGAGAUCUUGAGUUCAGGUUUUCCGGCCUGGAAUCUAGUAGAAGGAAGGAAGAGAAUGGAAGAACGGAAGUAGAGAAGGAAGGAAGAAAGGAAAGAAGGAAAUGACAGGGAUGUCUCAGGAGGAAGGGCCAUCCAACCAUGGAGCUGACUGAGGGACAGAAUUGAAGCAGGAAGAGGAGCUCAUCCAUGCGAACAUCAUUUAAGCAUCUGGCUCCAAGUGUGCCUGUAGCUGGUCCCUCCUUGUUCAGGAAUGAACUUCAAAGGAAGAGGCAUGUGGUAUGAGGCCAGAUGUGAGUCUGUCUAAGAAACGCUUGGGGAAAGCCAUAGCGAAGAGCUGACAUUCACUGAAGACGCACGCACAUGGGAGCUGACUUCAUUCUCUGCCAAGUCCCACAAGAUAGAUCCUAUUUUAUCAUCAUUGUGAAAACAAGGUGCACAAAGGUGGAAAGGGAGAUACAACAUCACACAGCAUGCAGAGGGGAAGAGCAGAGAUUCUCAGGGCUGUAAAUGGGGAAAUACCUUGCCAUCAUAUCUUAGAGUCUGGUAGAUCCACACUGAUAUAAGCAAGCACUGACCCAUCACAAGCUAUACUCCAGGAGACACAUGUGCAUGGUUUAGAUGACGCAUCUGCAAAACAUUUGGUCACCGGGAGACGCAAACACAUUGAGUCAAGUGAUUGCCAAGAAACUUGAUUUCCACUCUCAUCUUCUAUCAGAAGACCUUGUGAUCAUUCUCGAAUGGUGAAGAGAAACAGACAAGUUUAGGACCCAAAAUGAGGCAAUCUCCAGAUCCCUCAGCCAUUUCUCACUCCAGUUUGAAAUAUGAUGCUGAUUAAGAAGUUGGACCUUUACCAAAAAGUCAACAUGUAUGUAUAAAAAUCUUGAUAUGUGAUACACUGGCUAAAAGGAAGUUUGUGAUUUUCUUCAAGUAGGCUUUGCUACUGUGCAAUGCAAGCUUUAAAUGAAUGUAUAAUCAUUAGGAAUGUGUAGCCUCCCACUAAGCUAUUAGUGUGCAGGCGGGCUUCUUGGUAGUGUUACCUUACAAACAACACUGAUGCUAUGUUAAUGAUUAAAUGUACAGAGAAAAAAAUCACUCAGCUUGAGGCGGAAAGAAAAAUGAGAUUAGAAAAGAUUUUCAAAUCAUGAGAAUUAAGCAUUAAUGGGUAGUUGUUUAGUUUGAAGAAAUGCAAUACUGUCUUCUACAGUGGGCUAUGAAAUUAGGUAUUUAUCCCUUUUAACAAAUUCCACAUGCAAUGGAUGAAUGUCAGUGUGAUUCAUGGUGCUUUCCAAAGAGCUCCUUCUUCUUUGCAUAAUCAGACUUCUUCUGUUCUCUUGUUAAAGUCAUAUGUACAAUUGGCUGUACAUAGUUACCUAGACAUCUAGAUAAGAGCCAAUCCUUCCAGAAGGCACCAGUGGAGAUGGACGAAUUGGAUACUGUUGGUAAAAACAAAGAUAAGCUCAUGAGGGAGAAUAAAUCAGGAAAGGGAUCAAUGUCAAAUCCAGUGGUUUCUCCUUAGUUCCUGGCUAACUCUUGAGAUCAGACAUGGCAAAACCCUUAUAAUUUAUUAGAACUCUGAGAAGAGGGAGUUGUGUUUAUGAUCUAUCAAGUGUGCUCAUCUACUACUGCAAAUGACUGGCUCUCUCUGAAAAUGGCUUAGGAAAAGUCAUAGUCUUAUCGGAUGGGAAUCCCACGAGUACCAUCAGCCUGGAGUGCAGUGGGAUUUGGGAUUCAUGCCCCAUCAUGAAUUAACUACAUGUCCAGUUUUUGCUUCUCUCCAUUGUAUCAACUUGGAGCACCAUAUAGUGAUCCUUAGCAAUAUUCACAUGCAAUCCAUGCCUUACAUCCAGGCACAUUUGAGCUCCGUAAUGCCACACCUGCAGUUUCAUGAGCCCAUAUGCCUCAGACACAAGGAGCUGGGUUACUAAAGACACGGGAUUGUCUGUGACGGGAAAUGCUGUACUUAGACCUGGUACAAGCAACCUCCACAAGCUCUAGAAAAAUGAAUACUUACUAGCUCAAAACAAUUAACUGUGGGCUUCAAUGGGGGCUGAGGGAGGUCAGGCUGCUGACACAGGAGAUAGGCACUUCUCUGAAGGACAGAAAUAUCAUAGGUACCACAGGCACCAUGUGAGAGGACAGUAAUACUUACUAACCUGUCAACCCACCCAGAAAGCAGUCUCCCAUAAGGAAAUAUUCUUCCUUGGUGGCUUUGGGGCUUCAUUUUCUUUCUUUUUGUAUCCCACUCCACAGGUCUAGAUGGACACAUGAAAUAGCAAUAUUACCCAUAGUUGGGCACAGUGGCUGAGAAGUACAAUAUUAUACACUAUUAUUCUUCUUAAAUUUUUACAUAUUUAUGUCUAGAUAAAAUGUCUAUAUCCAUGGGAUGGACACUUACCCUUGAAGGUUAGAGUAAUUGUGUCAUUUUUAUGGGAAUACUUAAUAAGACUUGUUUCAAAAAUUGAAGUGAAGCUUCGCUUAAAUAUUCUCAUUAAAAUUAUUUAUAAGAUAAUUAUAAAUGGUGUAUUAUCCUUUAAAACUAUCUCUAUUUUGAAUAUUAAGAAAUGCUUUAGAAACUAGACUUACAACAUUUAAUUUUUAACAUGUAAUUUUAUUUACAUUUUUGAUUAAAAUACCCUCAGAUAUUGUAGCUUCAUUUUACUCUCAGCCUUUUAGAUGACAAGAUGAUUAGCUAAAAAGGAGAAUAAAUUGAAAAAAGAAACUUCCAAUCUUAUAAAAACAGUAGCCUUAAACCUGGUUUCAAUUUUUUUAGCAUUAUAAAGGUCAAGGUAGAUGGGGAGCCAGAACACAGUGUAUUAAAUCAUAUUUUCGUGUUGAGGUAUAACUUUAAGGUAUGACUAAUGCUUUUAUGUGUUUUCAUCCUGUAUCCAGGUUAUAGACAUUGGAAAGGAGUGUACUCAUACAAUUUUAGUACCAUGACCAACAGAAGAGUGACCCCUGGAAGUAAGGGGAGAAAUGUCACUUAAUGUGUUGAAAUUCCAUUUACUUGUAUUACACAGUCUGAUCUAAUUAAAUAUCCCUCAAUUAAUACCCAUCGAAGUUGGUGUUCACUACUGUAGCAAAAGAAUGAAUGAGUGAAUCAAUGCUUUUAGAGACUUUCAAGCUUUGUAUGCUAGGUCAAAUGUCAAAGAUUCUGAGGUAUAGCUCUCGAAGAAAAUUAAAUACAGUUUCAAUGUAAUGAUAACAGCAUUAAACUCUGUGCCACUUAUAGACAUUUAUGUUCAGUUUAAGAAACUUUUGCUUUUCUAUACAAGGGUGAACCCAAAGAUUAAAAACAAAAGCUUUGAUUUUCUUACUGUAUCCUAAUGAUUUCACUCACAAGAGCCUUCACAGUUCACUUCCCACCCAAAACACGCAUGCUUAUUGGUAGACACAGAACCCACAGCUCCAUGUUCAUAUUACUGCACAUGUAAUCAAAUUAACUCUAGCAUAAAAUGGAUAACCAUCAUUUAAAAUAUAAGCCAGUAGUCAUCUGAUUCUAAAUAGCACACAAUUAAAACAAUCCCAAAGACUACAAAGCUUGUAGAAACUUACUAAUAGUUAUAAUACUACAUUACCCUUUGAAAAGUUUUAUGUAUCUUUUUAAAUACCCUGACACACACACUGUCUCAUUGGUUGUCUAAUUUCAACAACAUAUUUUAUGAAAUUGCUUUGUUCCCCUUUUCAGUGAAGAGGCAUAUGAUGGAGAAACAUUUUCUUAAACUAGUCUACAGUUUAAUAGA